rnacentral:rRNA from 1 species
AUGGCUCAGGAUGAACGCUAGCUACAGGCUAACACAUGCAAGUCGAGGGGCAGCAUGGGAUUAGCUUGCUAAUCCUGAUGGCGACCGGCGCACGGGUGAGUAACGCGUAUCCAACCUUCCCUAUAGUAGCGGAUAGCCCGGCGAAAGUCGGAUUAAUACGCUAUGUUGUAUUUAGAGGACAUCUGAAGAAUACCAAAGGUUUACCGCUAUAGGAUGGGGAUGCGUCUGAUUAGGUUGUUGGCGGGGUAACGGCCCACCAAGCCAUCGAUCAGUAGGGGUUCUGAGAGGAAGGUCCCCCACAUUGGAACUGAGACACGGUCCAAACUCCUACGGGAGGCAGCAGUGAGGAAUAUUGGUCAAUGGGCGAGAGCCUGAACCAGCCCAAGUAGCGUGCAGGAUGACGGCCCUAUGGGUUGUAAACUGCUUUUAUCGGGGGAUAAAGUGCGGGACGUGUCCCGUUUUGUAGGUACCCGAUGAAUAAGGACCGGCUAAUUCCGUGCCAGCCGCCGC